GAUGAACGCUGGCGGCGUGCUUAACACAUGCAAGUCGAACGGAAAGGCACUGCUUUUGUGGGGUGAUCGAGUGGCGAACGGGUGAGUAACACGUGAGUAACCUGCUCUUGACUUUGGGAUAACUUCAGGUAACUGGGCUUACUACCGGAUAGGAGCUCCUGCUCCAUGGUGGGGGUUGGAAAUUUUCGGCGGUCGGGGAUGGAUUGGCGGCUUAUCAGCUUGUUGGUGGGGUAGUUGCUUACCCAGUCUUUGACGGGUAGCCGGCCCGGGAGGGUGAACGGCCACAUGAGGCCUAAGGUACGGACCAGACUCGUAUGUGAGGCAACAGUGGGGAGUAUGACACAGUGGGCCGAAGCCUGAGACAACAGCCCCGGGUUCGGGAUGACGUCCUUUGGGUUGUGAACCGCAGUCGCCUGAGACGAAGCGGGUGUGACGGUAAUGAAUGAAGAAGCACCGGCUAACUACGUG
rnacentral:rRNA from 1 species